rnacentral:rRNA from 1 species
CCUACGGGAGGCAGCAGUGGGGAAUAUUGGACAAUGGGGGCAACCCUGAUCCAGCCAUGCCGCGUGUGUGAAGAAGGCUUUCGGGUUGUAAAGCACUUUCAGUGAGGAGGAAGGCUGCAAGGUUAAUACCCUUGUAGAUUGACGUUACUCACAGAAGAAGCACCGGCUAACUCCGUGCCAGCAGCCGCGGUAAU